AUGGCCACCGCACACCAGAGCGACGGCGCCGCCGCCGCCAACGGCAAGAGCAACGGCCACGCCGUGCCCCCCGCCGCGAACGGCGAGAGCAACGGCCACGCCGAGGCCGCUCCUGUGAACGGCGAGAGCAACGGGCAUGCGGCGGCGGCGGCGGCGGAGCCGGAGGAGGCGGUGGAGUGGAAUUUCGCGGGGGCCAAGGGCGGCGUCCUGGCGGCGACGGGGGCGAACAUGAGCAUCCGGGCGAUACGGUACAAGAUCAGCGCGAGCGUGCGGGAGAGCGGGCCGCGGCCCGUGCUGCCGCUGGCCCACGGGGACCCGUCCGUGUUCCCGGCCUUCCGCACGGCCGUCGAGGCCGAGGACGCCGUCGCCGCCGCGCUGCGCACCGGCCAGUUCAACUGCUACCCCGCCGGCGUCGGCCUGCCCGCCGCACGAAGUGCCGUGGCAGAGCACCUGUCGCAGGGUGUGCCGUACAGGCUAUCGGCCGACGACAUCUUCCUCACCGCCGGCGGAACUCAGGCAAUCGAAGUCAUAAUCCCGGUUCUUGCCCAAACCGCCGGCGCCAACAUUCUGCUCCCCAGGCCAGGCUAUCCAAACUACGAGGCGCGCGCGGCGUUCAACAAGCUGGAGGUUCGACAUUUCGACCUUAUCCCGGAGAAGGGGUGGGAGAUCGACAUCGACUCGCUGGAAUCCAUGGCCGACAAGAACACAACUGCGAUGGUCAUCAUAAACCCAAACAAUCCAUGUGGCAGCGUUUACUCCUACGAGCAUUUGGCCAAGGUCGCAGAGGUGGCAAGAAAGCUCGGAAUAUUGGUGAUUGCUGACGAGGUAUACGGCAAGCUGGUUCUGGGCAGCGCCCCGUUUAUCCCAAUGGGUGUGUUUGGGCACAUUACCCCUGUGCUGUCCAUAGGGUCUCUGUCCAAGUCAUGGAUAGUUCCUGGAUGGCGCCUUGGAUGGGUAGCGGUGUACGACCCCAGAAAGAUUUUAGAGGAAACUAAGAUCUCUGCAUCUAUUACGAAUUACCUUAAUGUCUCAACGGACCCAGCAACCUUCAUUCAGGCGGCUCUUCCUCAAAUUCUUGAGAACACAAAAGAAGAUUUCUUCAAGGGGAUUAUCGGUCUGCUAAAGGAAUCAUCAGAGAUAUGCUAUAGACAAAUAAAGGAAAAUAAAUACAUUACAUGCCCUCACAAGCCAGAAGGAUCGAUGUUUGUAAUGGUGAAACUGAACUUACAUCUUUUGGAGGAGAUCCAUGAUGACAUUGAUUUUUGCUGCAAGCUCGCGAAAGAAGAAUCGGUGAUUUUAUGCCCAGGGAGUGUUCUGGGAAUGGAAAAUUGGGUCCGCAUUACUUUUGCUUGUGUUCCAUCUUCUCUUCAAGAUGGCCUCGAAAGGAUCAAAUCCUUCUGUCAAAGGAACAAGAAGAAGAAUUCAAUUAAUGGUUGUUAG
rnacentral:rRNA from 1 species